AUUGAACGCUGGCGGCAUACUUAACACAUGCAAGUCGAACGGUAACAGGCCCUUCGGGUGCUGACGAGUGGCGGACGGGUGAGUAACACGUGGGUGACCUGCCCUCAGCUCUGGGAUAAGCCUGGGAAACCGGGUCUAAUACUGGAUAUGACUCCAUGACGCAUGUUGUGGGGUGGAAAGCCUUGUGCGGCUGAGGAUGGGCCCGCGGCCUAUCAGCUUGUUGGG
rnacentral:rRNA from 1 species